rnacentral:rRNA from 1 species
GACGAACGCUGGCGGCGUGCCUAAUACAUGCCAGUUGAGCGCUGAAGGUUGGUACUUGUACCAACUGGAUGAGCAGCGAACGGGUGAGUAACGCGUGGGGAAUCUGCCUUUGAGCGGGGGACAACAUUUGGAAACGAAUGCUAAUACCGCAUAAAAACUUUAAACACAAGUUUUAAGUUUGAAAGAUGCAAUUGCAUCACUCAAAGAUGAUCCCGCGUUGUAUUAGCUAGUUGGUGAGGUAAAGGCUCACCAAGGCGAUGAUACAUAGCCGACCUGAGAGGGUGAUCGGCCACAUUGGGACUGAGACACGGCCCAAACUCCUACGGGAGGCAGCAGUAGGGAAUCUUCGGCAAUGGACGAAAGUCUGACCGAGCAACGCCGCGGGAGUGAAGAAGGGUGUCGGAUCGUAAAACUCUGUUGGUAGAGAAGAACGUUGGUGAGAGUGGAAAGCUCAUCAAGUGACGGUAACUACCCAGAAAGGGACGGCUAACUACGUG